rnacentral:rRNA from 1 species
CACGUAGGAGGCGAGCGUUGUCCGGAAUCAUUGGGCGUAAAGAGCGCGCAGGCGGCCCGGCAAGUCGGGUGUGAAAUCCCGGGGCUCAACCCCGGGACUGCAUUCGAUACUGCCGGGCUAGAGGUAGGUAGGGGAGAUCGGAAUUCCUGGUGUAGCGGUGAAAUGCGCAGAUAUCAGGAGGAACACCGGUGGCGAAGGCAAUCCCCUGGACCUGUACUGACGCUCAUGCACGAAAGCGUGGGGAGCAAACAGG